rnacentral:rRNA from 1 species
AACGAACGCUGGCGGCAUGCCUAACACAUGCAAGUCGAACGAGACCUUCGGGUCUAGUGGCGCACGGGUGCGUAACGCGUGGGAACCUGCCUUAGGUUCGGAAUAACUCCCCGAAAGGGGUGCUAAUACCGGAUAAUGUCUUCGGACCAAAGAUUUAUCGCCUUUGGAUGGGCCCGCGUUGGAUUAGCUAGUUGGUAGGGUAAAAGCCUACCAAGGCGACGAUCCAUAGCUGGUCUGAGAGGAUGAUCAGCCACACUGGGACUGAGACACGGCCCAGACUCCUACGGGAGGCAGCAGUGGGGAAUAUUGGACAAUGGGCGAAAGCAUGAUCCAGCAAUGCCGCGUGAGUGAUGAAGGCCUUAGGGUUGUAAAGCUCUUUUACCCGGGAUGAUAAUGACAGUACCGGGAGAAUAAGCUCCGGCUAACUCCGUG